UUUUAGGAGAUUUUAUGCUUUAUUUAUUGAUGGCUUCAUUCAUAAAAUUAUUUAAUAUCAUGGUUUUGCAAUCACAAAAUUCAAAAUCUAAAAGAACUGUACGAAUUAUGACAUGUAUUGUUUCAGAGAACAACAAAGUUUCAAUAAGCAGCAGCUCAUUCCCUGAUUUGACAAAUAGUCAACGUAUUCUUGUACACAAGUGUAGAAGGUUGAACAAGAGUAAACUUCAAUGUAAAGACACAGCAUCUAGUGCAUAGCAGAAUUAAUGUCAUUGGCAUUGAUAUACAACAUAUUUACAUCACAUUUUACACUUGUGAGACCCAGCUUUCAGUAGACUUCAGUUUUUUGUUAAUAGGAAAAAAUAAUGUAAAGUUGAAAACGACAUAAG
rnacentral:lncRNA from 1 species